rnacentral:rRNA from 1 species
CCUACGGGUGGCAGCAGUGGGGAAUAUUGGACAAUGGGCGAAAGCCUGAUCCAGCCAUGCCGCGUGUGUGAAGAAGGCCUUCGGGUUGUAAAGCACUUUCAGUGGGGAAGAAAGCCUUGGGGCUAAUACCCUCGAGGAAGGACAUCACCCACAGAAGAAGCACCGGCUAACUCCGUGCCAGCAGCCGCGGUAAUACGGAGGGUGCGAGCGUUAAUCGGAAUUACUGGGCGUAAAGCGCGCGUAGGCGGUCUGAUAAGCCGGUUGUGAAAGCCCCGGGCUCAACCUGGGAACGGCAUCCGGAACUGUCAGGCUAGAGUGCAGGAGAGGAAGGUAGAAUUCCCGGUGUAGCGGUGAAAUGCGUAGAGAUCGGGAGGAAUACCAGUGGCGAAGGCGGCCUUCUGGACUGACACUGACGCUGAGGUGCGAAAGCGUGGGUAGCAAACAGGAUUAGAUACCCUUAGUAGUC